UUGGUGGCAAAAGAGAUCCUAUACUAUAGGACUCGGUUUAAGUUCGAUGGUCCUUUUAUUUUAAAGAAUCCUGACCCUUGGAAACUCACAUUAUUUCUCUCAAGCCUCUCUCGGUCUUCUGUCCUCAAAUAAUACACCACCACCGCCGUAGCUACCUCCGAACAAUUGUACCACCACCGUCGCAACCACCAACAGCAGGGUAUUAUGUCCUUUCCAUUUCCUCAAAUGGCUAGUACUAGUGACGAGCCUGAAUUGACUCCCGAGGAGGAGGAGGAGGAAAGGAGGGAUAAUCUUAAAACUUAGAGACAUAUUAAUUAGAAAAAAACUAGAUCGUAGAGAAAGAGCUGCCAAGGCUGCAGGACGCUUGUUCAAAAGGGAUGCUUACAAAAUUACCGGAUAUGAUUGGCUCCUUGCCCCUCCAAGUGAGCUGAGAAAUUCAAUUUCAAUGAUCCCAGAGGAGGCCAGUCACUGCGCGGCCAGUAGUGCCAGCAAAGAAGCUAUUAGAGUGGAGAGUGAAGUUGCAUGAAGAUGUUCAAAAUUCUUCGGCAGUUUCCUUAUGGAAAGUAGUUGUGCUUCAACAUUCCUCAUUCGGCAGAACUCAGUGUGCUCUCUUUUCUUUUUUAUGUCCUCUUCAAACUCUGUUGUACUGAUUUCUGGUGAUUUUAGUUCAAAACAUAGCUGUAUUGCAACUUUGAUUAAGGAUUUCAGUAUGACUUCUUUGUUUAAAUAUACUACAGAGUUUGUUUUUAUUUCUAUACAUAAUGUUUGUUCACUA